rnacentral:lncRNA from 1 species
CCUGGAUUCCAGCCACUUGAGCUGAGGACAUGGAGAGGUGAUAAGGGGACACAUGCUGUCCUCAGUCCCUGUGCUUUCCUCUCCCUCCUCUGAUGAGGGUUUGGAGCUAGAACCCUGGGCUCUGGGAGUCCAGGGUGGAAGGAUUCUACCAAUCCUCCCUGUGCCUCAGGUUUGUCUCUCAUACAGAUCCCUUGGGGGAGGAUCACGGGCUCUCGGGACCUCCUCAGCUUCCCUCUGCCCCACAGGCAUAUCCGCUGGCCUUCUGGGCACCAACGACAAUGAAGCAGGCAAUGAUCUGAUGUUGCUGGACGGCUCUGUGGCCCACAGCCUGGAGGAGCUCAGCUGGGCCUGGCAGGUGGAUAGUGACUGCAGGGCCACCGAGAAGACUCAACAGGCCUGCCCAGGACAGAGCUCCGCCUGCUGGGCCUUCUUCCAGGACCCCCGCUCAGGGAACUGCUUCUGGGUGCUCCUUGACAAGGGCAAGAUUCUUGGCUGGGGCUGAGUAACCAGCAUGGAAUGCCAGGAAACUCAGGACGGCAUGUGCUUCAAAUGCAGGGAAGAAGAUCUGUUUGCCAUUGUGCUCAAAAUACUUCUGAGGACAUGAAACUCUCCCGCUGGUCUGGGUAAUUCUCCCCCUUCCUCCACACCUCCACUGUAAACCAAGAGACAGCAUUGCCAGUGAGUCCCAGCCCUGCAGAGAGAGCUCUACCCAGCUCCUGUUGAUGCCCGAGGGAUUUAUUCACUUAUUCAACAACCAUUGAAUGUGGGAAGUGGGAAGCCACUGCUUCAGAAAGCAGACUGUGCAGAGGGCUAAACAAAGCCAGGUUCUCAGCUGCCUGGUCCUGGCUUUCCCUGCCUGCUCCAGGGGUCUCCUGAGGCAGAAGGUUCUUUGAGGGGAACUGAUAGCUCUUCAGAAGCCCGGGUAGAGAGCUGCUGUCUUUAGUGUAGGCACACUGGGACUGAAUGCUUUGGAGGACUUCUGUUUUGGUAGGGGCACCUGUGAACUUGGGCCCCCCAGGCUACAGUAAAGUUUUUACUUUUGGAACAUAG